CCGAGUUAUACAACUCCCAAACCCCUGUGAACCUACCUAUACUGUUGCUUCGGCGGGAACAGACGGCCCCGUAAAACGGGCCGCCCCCGCCGGGGACCCCCCCAAACCAAUGUUUCUAUAAUGUUUUUCUGAGUAAACCCCAAAUAAAUCA
rnacentral:misc_RNA from 2 species